UUUUAUCGUGACUGUUAUUGUGGGCAGCCGAAGAGCUCUCCGACGGGGCUCUUGGUCUGAUCCCGAUAGUGCCAUGGCGACGUCGUCCAGAUUCGCCUUCUUCCUCUUCUGCCUGUCACUCCUGUACUCUACGGCGCUCUCCGACCUCGUGAUCUCGAGAUUCGAUCGACGGGUGGAUUUGACUUCCCACGUUGUACGGAUGUUGUCCUCGUGAAAGGAGAGUGAGAACUCGCCGCCGCCACUUCGACCUCCACCUCUGCUGCUCCUGAUGAUGAUGUCCCUUUUGAAGAAGACGCAUUUCGAGAUCGAAAGCCAUAUGCACUUUCACCAACCCCAGAUGCUUGUGCUACAUCACUCCAACGCAAAUCUUCACCUUCAAAGACAAAAUCAUUAUCAUCGUCUUUAUCACUGUCAUCCAAUUUUCCCAACAACCAUUCAUUACUAUCAUCUAUCUCUGACAAAUGGUUGUUACUAUAGUUGUACUGCCGUUUUGCACUGUUACAGUGCUCUUACUAUAGUUCUCUGAUUCAGUUUCCCAGAAUGGAAGACAAAUAUUAAAAAUAAAAAAGGACAAUAUUAACAAGUAAAGGAUGAACUUAAUGAACCAACCAUUCCAUUAAGACUCAAGUCUGAAUUAAAUUUAUCUGUCUUAUUGUCAUCAAAUAAAUUUCUUGUGGUCCAAUUUGAAAAAAAAUAAUAUGAUUAAAAUAGAUAUAACAACUUCUGCAACCAAAAAAAUUAAGAAACUUAUAGAUUUGGAAUUUUUGUUAAUUCUAUGAAGGCCUUUACUCUUAGAUCCAGUCCAACUUUCUAAGAUAGAUGAUAUGCUUUUGAGAUCAUUCCAUCUGUCCAUGUAACUUCAAUAUAAUCAUCUUGCCGAUCAAUUAUACUUCAACCCAAUAUAAGUUAGCAAACUUCUCAUAAACUUCAUUUUGACUUGAUGUGUCGAAAGUUUAGAUUUUGUUGAAUUAAGAGAAAUAAUUGGAGUGGUAGAGUGCACAACAUUAUCAUAUCAGUUAUAAUAAUUCAGAUGUGGAUCAAGUGUAUAUGCCCCAACAACUUACAAUCGAAUUCCAAGUUUCAAGCUUAGACCAUUUUACACAUGUAGUUUGUUUUUGAAAAUUCACAUUUUUUACUAUAGUGUGGCUACAUUCAAUGGAAUUGUUCUUUUUUGAAUAUCUUUUCAAUGACAUAUUGUCUUGGGAAAAAUUCAUUAUUUUGUGUAUGUCCAAUUAACAAUGUUGAUUGCAGCCCAUAUGCUUUAGUUCCAUCUUGCUAGAGCACAUCCAUCUUGAUAAUUAUGUUUGCAAUGAGAAAAGCUCUUUCACAGUCCUCUUCUUUCCUGAGCUUUCUUAGCAACAAAUGGCAGAGGCUGACAGAAAUUGGUUAGCCUCUGCCAUUGUGAACAAAGGGUUGCUCUUUCUUAAUGAAAGAGCUCUUCUCAUUGUGAACAUACCUACCAAGGUGAAUGUGCUCUAGCAAGAUAGAACCAAACCAUAUGCGUUGCAAUCAACAUUCGUUAAUUGGACGUCAUACUUAAAAUAAUAAAUUUUUCUCAAAACAAUAUGUUAUUGAAAAGGCAUUUAAAGAAGAAGAUAGUUCCAUUGAAUGUAGCCGCACUGGCAUAGCAAAAAUGUCAAUUGUCAGAAAUGAACUACUUGUGUAAGAUGGUUUAAGCUUAAAGACUUGGAAUUUGAUUGUGAUGAAGUUGUUGGGGUAUAUGCACUUGAUCCACAUCUAAAUUAUCAUUACUACUAUGAUGAUGUUGUGUGUUCUAUCACUCCAACUAUUUCUCUUGAUUCAACAUAAUCUGAAUUUUCGGCACAUCAAGUUAAAAUGAAGUUUGUGAAAAGUUUGCUAGAUUAUAUUGGGUUGGAAGUAUAACGGAUCGGUAAGAUGGUCAUAUUGAAGUUACAUGGAUAGAUGGAAUGAUCUCAAAAGUAUAUUAUCUGUUUUGAAAAGUUGCACUGACUCUAAUACUUAAAGGCCUUCAUAGAAUUAACAUAAAUUCUAAAUUUAUAAGUUCCUUAAUUUUUUUAGUUGCAGAAGUGGUUAUAUCUACUUUAAUUAUAUUACCUUUUUUCAGAUUGGACCACAUGAAAUUUAUUUUGUCAAUUGGUAUGAUAAUGAACUCACUCAGAAUGGUUCUAAUAUUGAUGAAAAUAAGACAGAUGAAUUUAAUUUAGACUUGAGUCUUAGUGGAAUUGUUGAUUUAAUAAAUUCACUCUUUAUUUGUUAAUAUUGUUUUUUUUUAAUUUUUGAUAUUGGUCUUCCAUUAUAGGAAAUUGAAUUAGAGAACCAUAGUGAGAGCAUUGCAACAUCGCAAGAAGAUAAUACUGGCAGACUAGAAGCCGGAGAAAUGGAAGUUGAUGACAUUUUGGACCAAUCAUCAUCAAUACAACAAACUGAUGACAAAGCUUAGUGAUGCAAGGAACUGGAUUAAAAAGAUCCAACAAGAAUGGAAUAUUCUUGGGACGAAUCUAUCUGAUGCUAUUUUUGUUCAAGUAUCUGAGGAGCGGUAAUAGUUGGAGCAAGUGGAAUGUCAUACCAUGAUAGCAUUUUCUUCUUUGAUUUUUUUAUCUUCGUCCAUACUACCCUCAAGUCCCACCGUCUGUCUAUUAUCAUUCUGGUGGCUAUGGGAUAUACCCAAAUCUGUUUGUUGAUGGGAAUGUAUGCUUAAGUUUGCUAAACACAUGGAAAGGGAAAUGAAAUCUGGGUUCCAUCUUCCACAAUCCUCCAAGUCUUUUUUUCACUACAAGGACUGGUUCUCAAUGAUAAGCCCUAUUUCAAUGCAGCUGGUUAUCAUCAGAAGAUUCAAACAAUUGAAGAUGAGAAGAAUGGAAUUUUGUACAAUGAGAACACCUAUCUACUCAACCUGAAAACGAUGCUGUAUCUUUUGUAAAGAUCUCCUAAGGUUGGUGCGACAAGCACAUCCUAUCACCAAUUAAUUUUGACUGCAAACCAUGGUGAAUUCAUAUUAUUUAGUUUAGUUCUUCCUAUUGUGUAAACAUUUAUGCAGUCAUAUUUGAAUUAUAGUUGGUCAUAAUUUUUCUGUGAUGUGGCUGUUUGGACACUUGAAAAUCAAGUAUGACUUUUGAUUCAUA